rnacentral:rRNA from 1 species
GUGGGGAAUUUUGGACAAUGGGGGCAACCCUGAUCCAGCCAUGCCGCGUGAGUGAAGAAGGCCUUCGGGUUGUAAAGCUCUUUCGGACAGAAAGAAAUCGUGCAGAUUAAUACUCUGUAUGGAUGACGGUACUGUAAGAAGAAGCACCGGCUAACUACGUGCCAGCAGCCGCGGUAAUACGUAGGGUGCGAGCGUUAAUCGGAAUUACUGGGCGUAAAGCGUGCGCAGGCGGUUUUGUAAGACAGACGUGAAAUCCCCGGGCUUAACCUGGGAACUGCGUUUGUGACUGCAAGGCUAGAGUGCGGCAGAGGGGGGUAGAAUUCCACGUGUAGCAGUGAAAUGCGUAGAUAUGUGGAGGAAUACCGAUGGCGAAGGCAGCCCCCUGGGUCGACACUGACGCUCAUGCACGAAAGCGUGGGGAGCAAACAGGAUUAGAUACCCGGGUAGUCC